GGAAGCUUGAAGUCUUCACCCCUGGACCACCAGGGAAGUCCUCACGAAGGCUUUUUUGAAGGAGAUCUAGAAUCCAUUGACUGAAGAGGUGACCAGAUGCCUAGGAAGAAGGACCCUUCAGCGCUGUGGCAGAAAGGCCCAAGGAACCGUGAGAGAGGAGCUACCAGAACCUGUGAGAGUGGAUCCAUAUGGCACAAGGAGUGGACUAU